UGUUUGAUGUUCUAACGUGGACCCGUGAUCCGGGUUGCGGACAGUGUCUGGUGGGUAGUUUGACUGGGGCGGUCUCCUCCUAAAGAGUAACGGAGGAGCACGAAGGUUGGCUAAUCCUGGUCGGACAUCAGGAGGUUAGUGCAAUGGCAUAAGCCAGCUUGACUGCGAGCGUGACGGCGCGAGCAGGUGCGAAAGCAGGUCAUAGUGAUCCGGUGGUUCUGAAUGGAAGGGCCAUCGCUCAACGGAUAAAAGGUACUCCGGGGAUAACAGGCUGAUACCGCCCAAGAGUUCAUAUCGACGGCGGUGUUUGGCACCUCGAUGUCGGCUCAUCACAUCCUGGGGCUGAAGUAGGUCCCAAGGGUAUGGCUGUUCGCCAUUUAAAGUGGUACGCGAGCUGGGUUUAGAACGUCGUGAGACAGUUCGGUCCCUAUCUGCCGUGGGCGCUGGAGAACUGAGGGGGGCUGCUCCUAGUACGAGAGGACCGGAGUGGACGCAUCACUGGUGUUCGGGUUGUCAUGCCAAUGGCACUGCCCGGUAGCUAAAUGCGGAAGAGAUAAGUGCUGAAAGCAUCUAAGCACGAAACUUGCCCCGAGAUGAGUUCUCCCUGACUCCUUGAGAGUCCUGAAGGAACGUUGAAGACGACGACGUUGAUAGGCCGGGUGUGUAAGCGCAGCGAUGCGUUGAGCUAACCGGUACUAAUGAACCGUGAG
rnacentral:rRNA from 1 species